rnacentral:rRNA from 1 species
UACGUAGGGUGCAAGCGUUGUCCGGAAUUAUUGGGCGUAAAGAGCUCGUAGGCGGUCUGUCGCGUCGGCUGUGAAAACCCGGAGCUCAACUCCGGGCCUGCAGUCGAUACGGGCAGACUGGAGUUUGGCAGGGGAGACUGGAAUUCCUGGUGUAGCGGUGAAAUGCGCAGAUAUCAGGAGGAACACCGGUGGCGAAGGCGGGUCUCUGGGCCGAUACUGACGCUGAGGAGCGAAAGCGUGGGGAGCGAACAGG